rnacentral:misc_RNA from 1 species
GAUGAAGAACGCAGCGAAACGCGAUAUGUAAUGUGAAUUGCAGAAUUCAGUGAAUCAUCGAAUCUUUGAACGCACAUGGCGCCUUCCAGUAUCCUGGGAGGCAUGCCUGUCCGAGCGUCGUUUCAACCCUCGAGCCCCCGUGGCCCGGCGUUGGGGAUCUGCCCAGGCAGUCCCCGAAAACCAGUGGCGGACCCGUUACAGGCCCUUCCCUUGCGUAGUAGCAUUCGCCUCGCAUCGGGAGCCGGCGGGCUUCCAGCCUCUAAACCCCCAUCAAGUCUGCCCCGGCGGCACCAAGGUUGACCUCGGAUCAGGUAGGAAUACCCGCUGAACUUAAGCAUAUCAAUAAGCGGAGGA